ensembl:processed_transcript
GUUACUAAAGAAAAACCCUCAUUGAGAGAAACUAUUGCCCUCUGACAUCCUUUAUUGUGAUUUUGUGGAUAUGCAGCAAGUAGGACGACGGCUAGAGGACAUUUCGGCAUCAAAUGGGAGCCAAACUGGAAGCAAGAAAAUGAGGAAAAGGGUUUCACAGGGCGACACAGUGGCGCAGUAGGUAGUGCUGUUGCCUCACAGCAAGAAGGUCGCUGGUUCGAGUCUCAGCUGGAUCGACAGGAAAUAAAAGAAAACAAACAAGCUAUCGAUUAGGUGUUAACCCUGACGCAGAGGACUAAACAACGCUACUUAUGGAUUUAGACGAGAACAGCAAUAAUCUGCAUGAGGACUUUUUCCAGGAC